GUUCUACUGCGGCGUUGGUGACUGCCAAUAAUGUUUUAUUGAUCUAUGCUGCUUACAAAAGGGAAUCGAACAGAUGCAUCUGGUGGCAGUAGACCGGGCUUGUACCCGGAAACUUCAAACUAGAGCCUCGAUACCCACCUGGUUUUUCCAGGUCAAAAGCUGAGGCAAAACGGCGUUGCGGUGAGCCC
rnacentral:other from 1 species